rnacentral:rRNA from 1 species
AUGCUAAAUUAUGAUCUUGCAAAAGCUUUUGAUCGUACCGAAUGGAAAUUCAUAGUUUCUGCUCUCUCUGGUAAAGGUCUGCAUGGUCAUUUCAUCAACUUAAUAUAUGCAUGCAUCUCCACACAUGUUUUCUCUAUCGUCAUUAAUGGUCAAACCUUUCAGAAAAUUAAAAGUCAACGAUGUAUUAGACAAGGCCGCCCUCUUUCUCCGUAUCUUUUUGUGUUGCCUAUUAACGAUCUUUCUCUUGCUCUCGAUGAUGCUAUGGCUAAUAAUCUUGAGAGUACCAUGCUUGGUCCAAAUUGCCCUCUUGUGCAUUAAUUACUGUUUGCAGAUGAUUUACCCGUAUGUGGAAAGGCAUCUAUGAAGGAAGCCCAAGUGAUACGCCGGGUUCCGCCAUUUUUGUCUUGCUUCAGGUCAAAUCCCAAAUUGGUCAAAAUCUGCUAUUCUGUAUAG